GGACCGCUAGCUCAGUUGGUAGAGCAGUAGACUCUUAAUCUACGGGUCGAUGGUUCGAAUCCAUCGCGGUUCA
rnacentral:tRNA from 1 species